AGUGAACGCUGGCGGUAGGCCUAACACAUGCAAGUCGAACGGCAGCACAGUAAGAGCUUGCUCUUACGGGUGGCGAGUGGCGGACGGGUGAGGAAUACAUCGGAAUCUACUUUUUCGUGGGGGAUAACGUAGGGAAACUUACGCUAAUACCGCAUACGACCUACGGGUGAAAGCAGGGGAUCUUCGGACCUUGCGCGAUUGAAUGAGCCGAUGUCGGAUUAGCUAGUUGGCGGGGUAAAGGCCCACCAAGGCGACGAUCCGUAGCUGGUCUGAGAGGAUGGUCCAACACAACUGAAAAUAGAAACGGGUCAAGCCCCUAAGGGAGGGCGGAGGGGGGAAUUAUGGAAAAUGGGCGCAAGCCUGAUCCAGCCAUACCGCGUGGGUGAAGAAGGCCUUCGGGUUGUAAAGCCCUUUUGUUGGGAAAGAAAAGCAGCAGGUUAAUACCCCGCUGUCUGACGGUACCCAAAGAAUAAGCACCGGCUAACUUCGUG
rnacentral:rRNA from 1 species